AAAUAAUAAAAUACGACAAUGCAAUAUUGUAUCGAUAAACUGAGAAAGAGAGAUUAUACAUGUCGGGUUAGUCAUUUUCUUUCAUUCGUAAAAUCAACUUGAACAAAGAAACAUGAAUCCUUUAAAAUUAAUUUGGUUAUCAAAUUCAGUAAAUGGAGUUGCAAAUAUGGUUACAGGACCAACAAAUCCUCCUCCUUUGCCUCAACCAGUCGUUAAACCAGCUGUCAAUCCAUGUACUCAAUCUGUACUGCCUCAAACUGUCUCAAACAUAAAAAACACAAAGACGAAAUAAUUUUUACUCUUGAUAUUUGUGUAAAUUAUUUAAUUUUGCAUAAAAUGUAGUGAGGUUCUUAUCAAUUUUUUUAUAUUUUUGCGAAAUUAUUUUUUAAGUGUUAGUUACCUUUGUAUGUAUUGAAGUCUCUCUCGCAAUUUUUUUUUUCUAUAUUUCUUUGUGAGUAUUAAAAGUCAUUUUAUAAACAGCGUUUUGCAUAAACGGACGUCAAAAAACAUGGGAAACACUGAAUCAAUGCAGUCUUCUAAUUUAGUUCCCAAAACUAAAGGUCCUAAAAAUCCGCCUCCUUUGCCAAAACCAAAACCAGAACCAAAGCCAAAGCCAAAGCCCGAAAGCAGUUCAUCUAAAUAAAAAAAUAUCAACAAACAUUGAAUAAAUAGUAAAAAAAUUAUUCUUUAAAUUUCUGAGCGAAAUUUCAUGGAUGACUAAAAAUAAAUUGAAAUAAAAAAUAAUAAAGAUCGUAUAUUUUUUCCAUAA